UUUGGGUUAAGCACUAAAGCUCGGCUGUUGGUAUGAUCUGACUGAACCUGAGAGUUUCCAGGGCCCCUGCGGGCAGGCCUGCUGCAGUGUAGCUGCUGUGACUCCCACUGGCUGCUGUGGGUCCCAUCCGUCGCCUGCACAGCAUCUCUGCAGACCCUCAGGGAGGACGUGACAGCUGUUCUUCUCAUAUGGUGGCGCUGACUCGGAUCACUCAUUUAUGAGGAUCUGCUUGGUUUCAUGAAGAAAGUCCAUGAAGAAAGUUCUGUUAUUAAUCCCACUGCAGAGACACUACAAGGUGAUGUGACCUGACCAGGGUGCAGAGCCAAGGGGCAGAGCCAAGAUCCAAACCCAGAAAGGCUGCCAGAGCCUAGGCUUUUGAUAACUAAACUACACAGUCCCCCAGGUAGGAAAAGGACUUAAAGAUCUUCCCUACAGGAAAGACCACAUGGUGAUCUUGACGCUCAAGGACAGCUCUUCUCCCAAAUCCUCCAGGUCAGCUGCAUCUGCUCCUGCCAAUGUGCUCCACCCUCCCACAAACAACUUUCAACACUGCAAAUGCAAACCACAAAAAACAAGAAAGGUGGCCCAAAGCACCUGCAGUUUUGAGGACUUUAGGGAGUAGCUGGUGAGCAUUUUGUAAGCAGACGCUAGCAUACUUCCUGCUUGUGUGCAGAACAGCAAGGCUGAAACAAAUGCUUUGAAAAGACUUCCGACAGGCUUAGAAAUGAGCAGAUUCUGGUUAACCCUGAAUUAACAUAAAAUUAAAGCAAGCCAAUACUUGUA